rnacentral:rRNA from 1 species
GACAGAGGGUGCAAACGUUUGUUCGGAAUUACUGGGCGUAAAGCGUGCGCAGGCGGUUCGUUAAGACAGAUGUGAAAUCCCCGGGCUUUAACCUGGGAACUGCAUUCGUGACUGGCGAGCUAGAGUAUGGGCAGAAGGGGGGGUAGAAUUCCACGUGUAGCAGUGAAAUGCGUAGAGAUGUGGAGGAAUACCGAAUGGCGAAGGCCAGCCCCCCUGGGCCAAUACUGACGCUCAUGCACGAAAGCGUGGGGGACAAACAGGAUUA